AUACUUGUCUGGCAGGGGAGCUAGCAUGAUGGAGAAGGUGGUUGUCCCAGGAGAUGCUCAUCUGUUGCACUUGGGGUUUGGUGACUCCUGAGAUUUCCCCAAGUUCGGAAAACACAACUGCCUACUUUGUGGUAGUGGGGGAUUGCAUUUGUGUUCUUCUCUG
ensembl:snRNA Gm24145 U1 spliceosomal RNA